CUACGUGCCAGCAGCCGCGGUAAUACGUAGGGCGCGAGCGUUGUCCGGAAUUAUUGGGCGUAAAGGGCUUGUAGGCGGUUGGUCGCGUCUGCCGUGAAAUCCUCUGGCUUAACUGGGGGCGUGCGGUGGGUACGGGCUGACUUGAGUGCGGUAGGGGAGACUGGAACUCCUGGUGUAGCGGUGGAAUGCGCAGAUAUCAGGAAGAACACCGGUGGCGAAGGCGGGUCUCUGGGCCGUUACUGACGCUGAGGAGCGAAAGCGUGGGGAGCGAACAGGAUUAGAUACCCUGGUAGUCCACGCUGUAAACGUUGGGCACUAGGUGUGGGGGCCACCCGUGGUUUCUGCGCCGUAGCUAACGCUUUAAGUGCCCCGCCUGGGGAGUACGGCCGCAAGGCUAAAACUCAAAGGAAUUGACGGGGGCCCGCACAAGCGGAGGAACAUGUGGUUUAAUUCGAUGAUACGCGAGGAACCUUACCCGGGCU
rnacentral:rRNA from 1 species